GGAUAGCUCAGUUGGUUAGAGCGUGGUGCUGAUAAUGUCCAGGUUACAGGUUCAAUUGCUGUAUGGGACA